rnacentral:lncRNA from 1 species
AGCGCGGGCGGGACCCCAAGCAGUCCCCUGUCUCCUCCGUUCUCCCCGCGCCCCCUGCGGAUUCUGAGCUGCUGUCGCGCCUGUUCCUCACCACGUGUGGCAUCUAUGAGUGAUGCCGAUGCUGCCUCUUUCCUGAGCAUAGAGAAAAACGAAAUGGGAGGAGAGGGGUUUUCUGUGCUGGACGCUUUCGGAAGCCCAAAGACAGCAGGCCUGUAAUGAACGGGGUUUGUCGAGUCACCCAGGGCAGACCCAGGAACUAAGCGCACAGCUGUUGACUUACACGGCUGAACCUUCACAGUUCUUUACCUUCUUCCAGGAGUAGCAGAAAAUGAACAUAGCUCAGAAAUAGAAAUGGAUCAGAUGCAUUCAGAGAAGACACAGAAAUACAGUUGAAGAGCAGAGCAAAGGUGGCAGGUGGGUACAUGCAGGUCCUCUGACAUUGCAGAUGUACUACGUUGGAGUUCCAGGUUUAUUUCUGAGGUUUGUGAUAGCCGUGGCAGGGUAUCAGGCGUGAUAUUUCUUUCAAGGUUAACGUUGGUGAGAAGGUAAAGCAAACUGAUUCCUCAUAGACUAUAAAGACAAUUGAAGGUGAAGAAUAUCUUUGUUGUUUUCAACUACGUGAUUUAGUUAACAGCUUCCAGUAGUAACCCUAAGAUAACAUAGGACGUUGCCUCCACUUGUGCUUCAGUAAAGGUAGAAGAGGUAACGCUGAAGUGAGCUCAGUCAGUACUGUUUUUCACAAACUCCAACACAGGGAUUGCAGGAGACAUUUUUCUGAUGGACCAACUGACUAUCCUUAAGAUUACUCUCCAUAAAUAUUUCGAGUACCCGUGAUUUUCAGGACAGUUUAAAACGGUCAGCCCAGCAGACAGUUUAAAAUUCUGUUCUCCUUCAAGUGUUUCAACACUUUCAGUCACGCUCUAAACCUUUUCAUGAGGCCUUGGUCUCUCUCCCCACUUACCUGUGAUCUCCAGUGACCAGAGACUCGAUUAUGAUCAAAUCCAUUGGGUCUUGCCUGAUCCUUUGCUUACUUGACUUUUCUGUAGCACUUGCCUCUACUUCUCACUCUGUCCUUCUGGAAAGUGUCUCUGUGAGUGUCUGUGACACCUUCCACUGGCUCUGUCCUUCUCCUGCUGAUAUCUUCAUGGAGUCGUCGUCUUUCCCUUGUCCUUGCACAUGGCUCAUCCCCAGUUUCCCUCUUUGGCCCUUUAAUCUCGUCUGUUGUCUUGGAAUGAUUUCAUUUUCUCUCAUUUUUUUCUUUAAACAGCUUUAUUGAGAUUCCGCUCACAUACCAUG